rnacentral:lncRNA from 1 species
CUGCCAGUCCCGCGCCAUGCGCAUGCACUCCUCAGCCCUUAGGCGGAUGGGACCGGUUGCUGCGGCACAGGGGCGGUGCCCUUCAGGGAGGCGCGCAGGAGCCCAUCUUGGGGGAGCUGGAGCAUGGCGGGCUGCAGGUCCCAGCCCUACCCCAUGGGGAGGCGGCUGAGGCCCAGCGAGAAUUCGAGCACUGCGCACGAGGGACGGCAGUGCUGGGGGACCGGGCGCCCCCUCCGCAGCUGCUGGCCUGGGUGCUAAGCCCCUCACUGCCCGGGGCUGGCGGCGACGGAGGGCGGCUCCGAGUGAGUGCGGGGCGCGGAGCCCCACGCCCACCCGGAACUCACGCUGGCCCGCGAACGCUGCGCGCAGCCCCAGUUCCCGCCUGCGUCUCUGCCUCCACACCUCCACGUAAGCAGAGGGGGCCAGCUCCAACCUUGGCCAGCCCAGAGAGGGGCGUCCCACAGUGCAGCGGCGGGCUGAAGGGCUCCUCAAGCCUGACCAGAGCGGACGCCGAGGCCGAGGAGGCGCUGAGAAGGAGCGAGGGCCGCCAGCACGUUGUCACCUCUCAAGAGUAUAGGGAGAGUAUCUCUGGAAUGAAGGCUUUUUAACCUGUUGCAGGGAAGAAGGGCAAUGGAAGGUUUGAAGGGGAGAGAGUACAGAAGAGACAAUGAUAUUGAAAAGACCUUUGUAAACAUUUUGCUUACAUGGUUUUCUGACCCUGGAAAAUAAUCCCUGCAUAUGAAAUGAAACAGACAUUUUUCUA